UGGCUCAGAUUGAACGCUGGCGGCAUGCCUUACACAUGCAAGUCGAACGGCAGCACGGGUGCUUGCACCUGGUGGCGAGUGGCGAACGGGUGAGUAAUACAUCGGAACGUACCUUAUCGUGGGGGAUAACGCAGCGAAAGCUGUGCUAAUACCGCAUACGCCCUGAGGGGGAAAGCGGGGGAUCGAAAGACCUCGCGCGAUUAGAGCGGCCGAUGCCUGAUUAGCUUGUUGGUGGGGUAAAAGCCCACCAAGGCGACGAUCAGUAGCUGGUCUGAGAGGACGAUCAGCCACACUGGGACUGAGACACGGCCCAGACUCCUACGGGAGGCAGCAGUGGGGAAUUUUGGACAAUGGGGGCAACCCUGAUCCAGCAAUGCCGCGUGAGUGAAGAAGGCCUUCGGGUUGUAAAGCUCUUUUGUCAGGGAAGAAACACCGGCUCUAACACAGUCCGGGAAUGACGGUACC
rnacentral:rRNA from 1 species